ACGUGGGCAAUCUGCCCUGCACUCUGGGACAAGCCCUGGAAACGGGGUCUAAUACCGGAUACUGACCCGCUUGGGCAUCCAAGCGGUUCGAAAGCUCCGGCGGUGCAGGAUGAGCCCGCGGCCUAUCAGCUUGUUGGUGAGGUAAUGGCUCACCAAGGCGACGACGGGUAGCCGGCCUGAGAGGGCGACCGGCCACACUGGGACUGAGACACGGCCCAGACUCCUACGGGAGGCAGCAGUGGGGAAUAUUGCACAAUGGGCGAAAGCCUGAUGCAGCGACGCCGCGUGAGGGAUGACGGCCUUCGGGUUGUAAACCUCUUUCAGCAGGGAAGAAGCGAAAGUGACGGUACCUGCAGAAGAAGCGCCGGCUAACUACGUGCCAGCAGCCGCGGUAAUACGUAGGGCGCGAGCGUUGUCCGGAAUUAUUGGGCGUAAAGAGCUCGUAGGCGGCUUGUCACGUCGGUUGUGAAAGCCCGGGGCUUAACCCCGGGUCUGCAGUCG
rnacentral:rRNA from 1 species